UUAAAAAAAGAGUGAAAAUUUUUGAUAUCCUUAUUAGAUAGGGCACCCCCUAGAAAGGGGAUUUUAAU
rnacentral:tRNA from 1 species